rnacentral:lncRNA from 1 species
CUCUCUCAUGCAGGUUUCCAUUAUGGAAAUGAAGCUGUGGACGCGGGAAUUUUGCCAGAGACCCUGCAGCCAGGAUUCCCCAGAGCCAAUGGCUUUAGGAAUGGACUCAGGGAGGAGACUCUUCUCUACCCUAAAGCCACAGUUCCAGCCCUUGAAAGACAUGGUCAGGCUGGAGCCUUCCAGCCCUGGGGGGCUGGAAUGAAGCCAGGAUAUGGAUAUGCAGGCCUUGGGAUCCAGGCAGGGCCCUAUGGGCAGCUGAAGCCAGAGCAGCUGAAGCACCUGGGACACUGUCCUUCUGGGAAAUGCUGAAUGGAGCCUAGCCCUGCCGACCCCAGGGUCUCUGCAUUAGAGCCUGGUCAGAGGAGCACAGCAGGAGGAUCAUGAGACUUGCCCAGGGCACUGCACUGCCCUGCCCCGGGUCUCCUCUGGGCUGAAGUAUUAAUAAAAGCCAUAUGAUUCCC